rnacentral:piRNA from 1 species
UGUGAAGAACUAAGAAGCCAACCUUGAG